UACGUAGGGGGCAAGCGUUGUCCGGAAUUAUUGGGCGUAAAGAGCGCGUAGGCGGUCCGAUAAGUCGGGCUGUGAAAGUCAAGGGCUCAACCCUUGGAAGCCGGCCGAUACUGUCGGACUAGAGUCCGGAAGAGGCGAGUGGAAUUCCCGGUGUAGCGGUGAAAUGCGCAGAUAUCGGGAGGAACACCAAUUGCGAAGGCAGCUCGCUGGGACGGUAC
rnacentral:rRNA from 1 species